rnacentral:rRNA from 1 species
AUUGAACGCUGGCGGCAUGCCUUACACAUGCAAGUCGAACGGCAGCGGGGGAGAAGCUUGCUUUUCCUGCCGGCGAGUGGCGAACGGGUGAGUAAUACAUCGGAAACGUGCCCUGUCGUGGGGGAUAACUAGUCGAAAGAUUAGCUAAUACCGCAUACGCCCUGAGGGUGAAAGUGGGGGACCGCAAGGCCCCAUGCUAUAGGAGCGCCGGAUGUCGGAUUAGCUAGUUGGUGGGGUAAAGGCCUACCAAGGCGACGAUCAGUAGCUGGUCUGAGAGGACGAUCAGCCACACUGGGACUGAGACACGGCCCAGACUCCUACGGGAGGCAGCAGUGGGGAAUUUUGGACAAUGGGCGAAAGCCUGAUCCAGCAAUGCCGCGUGUGUGAAGAAGGCCUUCGGGUUGUAAAGCACUUUUGUCCGGAAAGAAAUGGCUCUGGUUAAUACCUGGGGUCGAUGACGGUACCGGAAGAAUAAGGACCGGCUAACUACGUGCCAGCCGCCGCGGUAA